GUGCGCCCGGGUCUUCUGAGCAGAAACUAACGGAUUCUAGUGUUGUAAGGGAACACCCCUUAGGUGUCCUGCCUCAACCUGAAAUGAGAAACUAACGUGAAAGAAAGACGAUGGGUUGCGUAUGAAAAGCCGUUCACAAUGUUACUCUUCUGUCUUGAGGUUUAAGAGUGAAGCAACCCAAAUAUAACGAAUGGAGUUGCUGUGAAUGGAUGGAACUAGAAAAUAUCAUCCUGAGUGAGGUAACCCAGACUCAGAAAGACAAACAAGAGCCUUCAUCCAGUAACUGAUGGAAGCCGAUGCAGAGAUCCACAGCCAAGCACCAGGCCAAGCUCUGGAAGUCUAGUCGAAGAGAAGGAAGAGGGAUUGUAUGAGCAAGGGAGGGGUCAAGAUCAUGAUGGCGAAAUCUACAGAGACAACUGAACCAAGCUCGUAGGAACUCAUGAACUUUAGACUGACAAUUGUGGAACCUGCAUGGGACUGGACUAGGCCCUCUGCAUAUAGGAGACAGUUGUGUAGCUGGGUCUGUUUGAGGAGCCCCUGGCAAUGGGAUCAGGACAUCUCCCUGGUACAUGAGCUGGCUUUUUAGAGCCCUUCACCUUUGGUGGGAUGCCUUGCUUAGCCUUGAUACUGUGGGGAGGGGCUUGGUCCUUCCUCAACUGAAUGUACCAGGCUUUACUGACUCCAUGGGAGGUCUCACCCUUUUUGGAGGAGGGGUUCGGGAGUAAGGCAGG